AUUGAACGCUGGCGGCAUGCUUUACACAUGCAAGUCGAACGGUAACAGGGUGCUUGCACCGCUGACGAGUGGCGAACGGGUGAGUAAUGCGUCGGAACGUGCCGAGUAGUGGGGGAUAACGCAGCGAAAGUUGUGCUAAUACCGCAUACGUACUGAGGUAGAAAGUGGGGGACCUUCGGGCCUCACGCUAUUCGAGCGGCCGACGUCUGAUUAGCUAGUAGGUGAGGUAAAGGCUCACCUAGGCGACGAUCAGUAGCGGGUCUGAGAGGAUGAUCCGCCACACUGGGACGGAGACACGGCCCAGACUCCUACGGGAGUCAGCAGUGGGGAAUUUUGGACAAUGGGCGAAAGCCUGAUCCAGCCAUGCCGCGUGUCUGAAGAAGGCCUUCGGGUUGUAAAGGACUUUUGUCAGGGAGGAAAUCCCUAGUGCUAAUACCGCUGGGGGAUGACAGUACCUGAAGAAUAAGCACCGGCUAACUACGUGCCAGCCGCCGCGGUAACAC
rnacentral:rRNA from 1 species